GACGAACGCUGGCGGCGUGCUUAACACAUGCAAGUCGAACAGUGGCGAACGGGUGAGUAACGCUAAUCAACCUGCCCUUCAGAGGGGGAUAACUACGGGAAACUGUAGCUAAUACCGCGUACCAUAGGUUGAGCCCAAGUGGGAUUAGGUAGUUGGUGGGGUAAAGGCUCACCAAGCCGAAGAUCUCUAGCUGGGCUGAGAGGAUGACCAGCCACACUGGGACUGAGACACGGCCCAGACUCCUACGGGAGGCAGCAGUGGGGAAUAUUGCGCAAUGGGGGCAACCUGACGCAGCCAUGCCGCGUGAAUGAAGAAGGCCUUCGGGUUGUAAAGUUCUUUCGGUAGCGAGGCGUUAACUAAAGAAGAAGCACCGGCUAACUCCGUGCCAGCAGCCGCGGUAAUUC
rnacentral:rRNA from 1 species